rnacentral:piRNA from 1 species
UCCCAAAGUAAGCUGCUCACAACGGUGGAC